UACGAAGGGGGCUAGCGUUGCUCGGAAUCACUGGGCGUAAAGCGCACGUAGGCGGGUUGUUAAGUCGGGGGUGAAAUCCUGGAGCUCAACUCCAGAACUGCCUUUGAUACUGGCGAUCUUGAGUCCGGGAGAGGUGAGUGGAACUGCGAGUGUAGAGGUGAAAUUCGUAGAUAUUCGCAAGAACACCAGUGGCGAAGGCGGCUCACUGGCCCGGUACUGACGCUGAGGUGCGAAAGCGUGGGGAGCAAACGGG
rnacentral:rRNA from 1 species